CCAGGAUGUAGCUGCGAAUGAGACGGCCGUGGGCCCCUCCCCCAGGGAGCUUUCAGUUUAAUGGAAAACCCCCUGUUAAUCCAGUGCGAUCGUUUCACUCCACCUGCUCUGAACCCUGUAGUUGCGGUCUGUUGCUUUUAGGAUGAAGACGAAGUCCUUGACGUGCAGAGGCCAUGGGGGACUUGGCCUCUUGCAACUUCACCUUCGUGUUCAGCACACUUCCCUUGGCUCUGCUACAGUCUUCUUGGACUUUCAUAUCGGGAACAUGUUUUUGCACAUGCUGUUACUUUCGGAAAGAUUUUUCUUUCAACCUAGUUAAUUCCUAUUCUUAAGCCUCCCCAUCUAGGAUAAAUUCUCCCUGGCACUAAUCACGAUUGUGGUCUUAAAGCUAACUAUGAGAAUCUUUGAUUUCUUUAGUCUAAGCUCCGUGAUGGAAGAGAUCAAACCUUUCUCUCUCCACUGUUAUCUCCUGUGUCUCAUGCUUGGCCUGGAAUGAAAUAAAUAUGUGAUAAAUGUUUGUGGGAUGAAGAAAACAUACAUCAGUGUAUUAUCUCAAACUGGGAGAGGUGGUAUACAAGAAAGGGAAUCCAGUGCUAGUGGAGUGUGUAACCCAGGGCCCCCGACCUGAUCUGUGGAGACAGGCGGUGAUCUGAAGGGUGAGCAGGCACUUACGUAGAAGAAGAGAGGUCAGGCUGCUGGAGAGUAUUGCACACAGAGACUGUCAGUUCCAAAGGUUCUAAGGUUGGAGAAGAGUGGUUCAUGCAGAGGAACAGUAGGUACAAAGAUCCUGAAUUAGCAUAGUAGAUAAACUGAAAGAAGAUGAGGCUAGCAGGAAAUUGCAGCAUGCAAUGAGUUUUGGAAGAUGCUGGCUUUUUGGUAGAAUAUGACCGGUUAACAAGAAUACAAAGUGUCUGUAGGGGAUGAUAUAAUUAAAGUAAUAACCCAGACCUUUUGGCAUGUUUUGUGGCCUCUUCAGGGUCCUUUGCUAAUUUGUUUCUGGUUAUUACUGGGUGUAGAGUGGGGUGAUGAUCAAAAAAAUGCCUGCCCCAAGGUCCAAGAAAAGGAAACCUUACUCUAAGAUUCUUUUUCUGAUUUUGGGGGGGCUACUUUUACCUGUUUUUCCAUAUUAACCUUAGAAGCACUUUAUCAAGUUCUAAAAAAAAAAAUAUAUCCUGUUGGGAUUACUAUUGGAAGCACUUGGAUGUAGUUAUUAAACGCUUGGCUUCUGGAAUCUGGCUUAUCUGGUUUGGGAAUCCAAGUUCAUUCAUCCACUGGGUGACUGACCUUGGUAGAGAAAAUUAUUGUCUUAGACUUGUUUUCUUAUUUGGAAAAAAGAAAAGGUUCAAAGGAUUAUUGUGGAGAUUGAAUGAGAGAAUAUGUAUUUUUCCUCCAAAAACACGUUUCUAUUUUUUUUUUUUUACUUUUUAUGUUUCUCAGUAAACUUCUAUUUUAAAAAAUGAAGGUCUGGAUUUCCUCUUGUUAGGGUUUGCUCUGAGUUUUCUGGUGUCUUUUGCUUGUUUUGCUCUUUGUGUAUUCAUGUUCCCCUCUACUCUUGUCUUAGGACAGGCAGCAUUGCAUGAUGUUGGUGAGUACAGCCUGUGGUGCUGAGGGCAAGUUACUUACCUUUCAAAUUCUCAGUUUCCUCAGAAUUCAAACUUCAUGGCAUAGUGUGGAUUAAAAGAGGAAAUAUUCAUACACCACUUACCAAGUAGCAUUUAGUAAAUGAUUGCUACUGUUACCGGCAAGUUUGUUGAUUUAAAGGAGAGCCUUUGUCUGGGUUGGGCUCACUCUUGUUUCUCUUUGCUUCUUCCCUCAGCCCCUGCCCUUCAUUGAGAGGAAGCCCAGGUGAUGGCUGUCAUGCCCCUGAGAGCCUGGCACCAGGUGAGCUGUGAUUCCCUCAGGAGGUGGUGACCUUUGAGGACGUGGCUGUAUACUUCACCCAGACAGAAUGGGCUGGCCUUUCUCCUGCACAGAGGGCCCUGUACAGAAGUGUGAUGCUGGAGAUUUAUGGGAACUUGACGUCUCUGGGAUACCCAGUUCCCAAACCUGCAUUGGUCUCACUUCUGGAGAGAGGGGAUUUGCCUUGGGGCCUGGAGACACGGGAUGAUCCCCCUGCACAGGGGACCAAAGACAUCUGUAAAAAUGCUGGGACCAACACUGACAAUGAGUUAACACCAACAUGGGGAGUUUCUGAAGAAAGAGAUAUGAUGAUGUUACAUGGGCCACAGAAGAAUGUUCUUAAGAGAAACAGCUUCCUAGAAACAUGUGAACUGGAGAAGCACCAGGAAAUCCCCACAGUGAAAAACAUUAGAGGAAAGGUUCCAAGAAUCCACUAUAAUAGGAAACCCUUCAGAUGUGAGGAAUGUGGCAAAUGCUUCAGCUAUUUUUCUUACUAUGUUAGACACCAGAGAAUCCACACUGGGGAGAAACCCUUUGAGUGUAAUGAGUGUGGAAAAGCCUUUAAUGGCAAUUCUUCAUUAAUUCGACAUCAGAGAAUCCACACUGGAGAGAAACCCUAUCAGUGUGAAGAGUGUGGGAGAGCCUUUAAUGAUAACGCAAAUCUGAUCAGGCAUCAGAGAAUCCACAGUGGGGACAGACCCUAUCUCUGCACGGAGUGUGGAAAUGGUUUCACCAGUAGUUCUGAGUUUGUUAUACACCAGCGAAUUCACACUGGGGAGAAACCCUAUGAGUGUAAUGAGUGUGGAAAAGCUUUUGUUGGUAAUUCACCACUGCUGCGACAUCAGAAAAUCCACACUGGAGAGAAACCUUAUGAGUGUAAUGAGUGUGGCACAAGCUUCGGACGGACUUCUCAUCUUAGUCAGCAUCAGCGUAUUCACACAGGGGAAAAGCCUUAUCCUUGUAAAAUAUGUGGGCAAGCCUUCAAUUUUCAUACAAAACUAAAUCGGCACCAGCGAGUCCACAGUGAGGUGAAACCCUUUGACUGUAUAGAUUGUGGAAAAGCCUUUAGUGCUCAGGAUCAAUUAAAAAGGCAUCUAAGAAUCCAUAUUCAGGAGACUUCCUAUGUGUGUGAUGAGUGUGGAGUAGUCUUCACUAGCAAAAGAAAUCUGCUUCAGCAUCAAAGAGUCCAUACUAGAGAGAAAACCUGUGAAUAUGUCAAGUAUGAAAAAACCUUUAGGACUUCUUCCCAGCUAGAUCAUAUCCACCCUGGAGAGAAGCCAGUGCUGGAUGUUGGAUGUUUUGGCCUCCCAGAAUUUUUUACCCCCUUUUACUGGUCAUCCAUAACACCCAAGACAUGGUGGCUCCUAGUGUAAUCUUCUUACGGUGUCUCUUAAUAACAUGUGGACUCCUACAAGGCCAAUUAACAUCACAGCUUUCGUUGAACUGGAUCUGGGAUUCUCCAGGGCUUUGGCUUCCGGACAAUGACUGGCUGAGUCAACAUAGACAGGAGGUUGGUCUCCUCCGGACAUACUAGUCCAUGCAGACAGGAGCCAGUGUCUUCAGGACCUGCUGGGAGGCACCGCCACAGGAGUAAAAGGGCGAGGCCUGUGUUAUGGAUCUUACACCUUCCUAGAAAUAUGAAACAACGGAAUCGUCCUACUAUUUAAGAAAAGGAAAACAUUUUUCCCUAAGACUCGAGGAAGAAGCUCCAUCCCCACCAUCAACACCCGAAGCUGAAAUUCGACUUCAACGAUUCCCUGAACAACUUGCUUAUGGGACAUUAACACUGUCUUUAAGUACUAUCUUUUAUGACCCCAGCAUGAGCUACAGCCACCCCCCACCUGCCCAGGAGACCCUCCAAGACCAGCAGUACGCGGGCCUCUCACUGUUGUGGCCUCUCCCGUUGCGGAGCACAGGCUCCAGGCACGCAGGCUCAGCCGCUCCACGGCAUGUGGGAUCUUCCCGGACCAGGGCACGAACCCGUGUCCCCCACAUCGGCAGGCGGACUCUCAACAACUGCGCCACCAGGGAAGCCCCAACAUAGCUUUUAAUGGAUUAACAAUUUUGGUUGGGGUAACCUUGGAGAAUAAAACAUCGGAGUGAUUAAGAUUUAGACCAGCUAGUCAAAAUGCUUUAUCAUUAAUGAUCCAAAAUAUUGAUAAGUGGAAUAAGUUACCCUAGGGGUAGCAGCACAAUUGUAGAGUUCAUACUGACGAUAAGGUUUAUGACCUUGAUGCUGGAUCAGUACAUCCCAAUAGUAUAACUGCUAUUAACGGUCUGUUCAGUGAUUAGUAAAGUCCUGUUUGAUCUGAGUUCAGACUGGAGUAAUCCCAUUAGGUUUCUAUUCUAUAUUUCUUGCAGUAUGAAAGAACAAGAGAAAUAAGGCCUAUUUUACAAAAUGUCUUCAAACUAAUUGAUGAUAUAAUCUCAAUUCAAUUAAUUUAUACAUACCCCACUAUAGAACAGGGUUUGUUAGGGUGGUAGAGCCCGGUAAUUGUGUAAAACUAAAACCUUUAUCCGCAGAGGUUCAAGUCCUUUUCCUACAGAAAUAUUUAUAAUCUGCAUUCUUUCACGAAUUCUACUUUUACUAGCUGUAGCAUUCCUCACAUUAAUGGAACGGAAAUUCCUAGGCUAUAUACAAAUCCAGAAAGGGCCACACAUCGUCAGCCCUUAUGGAUUAUUAUAACCCAUUGCUGAUACAGUCAGAUUAUUUAUUAAAGAAACACUAUGACCAUCAAUCUCAUCAAUUUCUGUAUUAUCGCAUCAAGUCUAGCCUCAAGCCUGGCUCUCGCAAGAUGAAUUCCUCUCCCCCUACCCUUUCCACUAGUUAACAUAAACCUAGGUGUACUAUUUAUACUAGCUAUCAAGCCUAGCCAUUUUUUCCAUCCUCUGAUCUGUAUGCGUUUUGGAUUCAAAAUACACAGUCAUCGGAGGUCUCCAUGCAGUAGCACAGACAAUCUCAUAUGAUGUAACACUAGCAAUUAUUCUCUUAUCAGUUCUAGUGAUAAAUGAUCAUUUACACUUUCAGCAGUAAUUAUUACACAAGAAUACCUGUGACUAAUUUUCCCAUCCUGACCCCUAGCCAGAAUGUGAUUUAUCUCUACUCUAGCAGAAACCAACAGAGUCCCAUUUGAUUUAACCUAUAUUUGGCUUCAAUGUAGAAAAUGUAGCAGGCUUAGUCACCCUGUUCUUCCUAGCAGAGUAUGUCAAUAUCAUUAUAAUAAAUAUUUUCACAACAAUCCUAUUUUUAGGAGCAUUUGACAACCCCUACAUGCUAGAAUUCUAUACAGCCAAUGUCAUCAUUAAAACACUCCUCCUAACAAUCUCCUUUCUAUGAAUUCAAGCAUCCUGCCCACAAUUUUGAUAAGAUCAGCUUAUAUAUCUCUUAUGAAAAAAUUUUUACCACUAACAUUAGUCUUAUGUGUAUGAGAAGUUUCACUACCUGUCAUCACAUCAGGCAUCCCACCACAAACAUAAGAAAUAUGUCUGACAAAGAGUUAUUUUGAUAGAGUUAGUAAUAGAGGUUUAAAACCCUCUUAUUUCUAGAAUCAUAGAAAUUGAACCCACCCUUAAGAAUUUUAAAUUCUUCAUGGUAAAGUCAGCUAACUAACUAUUGGGCCCAUACCCCAAAAAUGUUGGUUUACAUCCUUCCAGUACUAAUAAACCCUCUUGUGUUUACUAUCAUUCUACUAACCAUUAUCUCAGGAAUUAUAAUUGAAAUAACAAGCUCACACAGGUUACUAUUAUCCCCAUUCUAAUUAAAAAAAAAAAAUUUAACCCAUAAGUGUGAACAAUAGCACAAAUACCAGUAGAAAAUCUAAGGCAACCCAGUUAUCUAAUACUACCUGGGCUAAGGAAUAUAGGGAUAUCUGUUGUGCUGCAGUGCAGUCUUUUUGGCUGUUUGACUAGUGGUGGCUGAUAAAUUUCUGAUCUUUUUGUUUAUAUACACUCCUGCAUUAGGAACCAAGAUUCCCAAAAGAUUUGCCACUGGUAUCUUGGUAUUUUGCUAACACAGAUUGCUUGACUCUUUAAUGAAGAGAGAAAGGAGAUUCAUUUAUUUCCUGAUGUAUAGACAAUGGGAUAACGUAAUAUUCUAAUAAAUAUAUACCUUCUAUUUGUCAGCUAUUAAGACAUUUUUCAAUUAAGUAAGGGACAGAGGGAGGGGGUCCUGGGGUAAGUAUUGCUCAGUCUCUAGGGACUGAAGAUAGUAUCAGACAAGGAAUGGCCAUAUUAAUACGUUGAAGAAUUUAAACCUGAAAGAUUAGGUCAGAGAGAGGUUGGUCUGGGUGAGCGGUAACAUUAGCAACAUCUGAAAAGUCAGCGACAGGUAUUAUGAGGGGCCUAUCCCAGUAG